AACUGGAAAUGAGGCAGUCCAGCUGGAUUCCAGCUGGGUCCAGCUGGAAUCCAGCUGGGCUGCCUUAUUUCCAGUUC
rnacentral:pre_miRNA from 1 species